AGCAGGGCAGAGAAAGAUGCUAAAAUUGCUCACUGUCUAGUAUACCUCUGCGGAUUUUACCUUCCCAACAGCCCUUCCCCUCCGUGGCAUCCAAAAUCAGAGACCACUGGGGGACCUGUCCCCACUCUUGAUUCCUGACUCUGUGAUGGUAACUUGUCCUUUCUUGGGAUUGAUGCCAACAAUGAAAACCAGAUGCCGAUGAUGACCAGUGGAUCACCACACAGAGAGCGUAUCUUAGAAAGAAACAAACAUGGAGAUGAAUGUCAUUUGCUGCGUCAGUGGUUUGAAGUCAAUAACCAUUGAUACUCUCCUUGGGGACCUCUUGGGCUUACAGAGGCAAUAUUUUAGAAUGAGGACACAGCCUGGUGAUGAAUGCUACAUGGGGUGUAAGAAAAGUCACGAAAGAUUUGAAUAACCUCUCAACCUUUGGCAGUGAGGUCACAGAGUGUCACUAGACCUUGAUGGAACAGGCAGCUGGACUGGAGAAUUUGCAAGUCUGACUCCACAAAGCAGUUUUGCUUUCCUCCUGAAGGAAUGGAUCUUGGAUCUGGUAGGAGCUAUUAGAGAUGGUGGGUGAUCUUCACUUGGAUGACUGGGAUCAGGAGAUGUGGACUAUUGAAUAUGAGCUGGUCUGCAUUAGGCCCAUUUUUAUUUAUUUAUUUUGCCAAGGAGAAGAAUAAUGCCUGUAAUUGAUAUAAAGUGUGUAAUAGUUCCCCUUGCCUCAAACGGUGACUUUUUAAAAUACAGGGUCAAGUUGGUG
rnacentral:lncRNA from 1 species